rnacentral:sRNA from 1 species
AUGCUCAUUUUAUAAUAUUUAUUGAGCAAGUUGGAUAGAUGGUGGUUAAUCUCUUAAUAAAGGGGUGAUGCCUAUGGUUAUAGUUGUUACUCCUAGAAAGGAGUAGCAUGUCUGUUUUUGAAAUGCUGAUAAUUGUAUUAACAAUUAUUGGUUUAGUAUAGAUCAGUAAUCAAGACCAAAA